rfam:Oryza punctata chromosome 2, whole genome shotgun sequence.
GCCUUAUGAUGCUAAAAUUAAGGCUUGUUUCUCAUGACAUUCGCAGUUGCCGCCAAAGAGCUUUCGCCCUGCCAGGCUUGAGAGCUAGUGCUGCUAAAUCCUUCCUUGGAUGUCUGAAGGC